rnacentral:lncRNA from 1 species
AAAGAGAAAUUCUCCCAUCCAUCUACCAUGUUCUUGCAAGAUAUGAUGAUGCUUUCUUUGCUUGCGAUCCUCCAUUUAUCCAGCAAUAGGUUCAAAGAAAGAUUUUUCUGAUCAUUUGGUUAUAAAUUAUGAGAUGAUCAAACUUGAUGUUUAUCUAUGAAGAAAUCAGGAUUCUAAAGGUCAAGAUCAGAAUCAAGAUUGGAUGGCAACAAUGAGGACUGGAUCAGCCAGAUAUGAUGAUCCAUAUCAUGGACUUGGAGUUUGUAAUCCUUUUUGUUGGAAAUUAUGAAAAGAUCAUGUUUGAUGUUUAUCGUAGGAGGUUUUACUAGGAAUAGGAUCACAAUCUACUAGAUUAUGAGAUUUGGACAGCGGAUUGGAAACAGUGAAUUGUAAAACAAGUUAUGAAAUAGAUAAUCUAAGGGGAAGAUUACAACAUUUCAGGAAAAAAAACAUUACUAGCAUCCCAAAAACUAUUUGUUGAAGAGCAUGGCUUGUAAACAAGUUAUGAAAUAGAUAAUCUAAGGGGAAGAUUACAACAUUUCAGGAAAAAAAACAUUACUAGCAUCACGAAAACUAUUUGUUGAAGAGCAUGGCCUGUUCAUGGUUUUAGUUCUUGCUUAUAUCUAUCUAAAUUUGUUAGUAACUGUAGCUUGGAGUUCUACUAUCUAUGAGGGCCAGGAUGAAGCAAGCAGUCUUUCAUGUCUAAUGAGGGAUCCAUUUUAUACUAUGAAUUUUUUAUGUCAGAUGAGUCACAAAAUUUUAUAAGUGGAAUGCAUCCAACUUAAUCUAUACAAUAUUGUUAGUGGUUAAUUUUGUAACUUAUUAUCUUAGAUCGUAGGCCGUCACCUUAGUCCAUGUCACAAUGGUGUCCAAUUUAAAGUGGGAAGGCACUUUUUUAGAAUUUGCAGAAAAUCUUAAUUGCCAAAUAUUUCCUAGUUUGCAGUGACAUGGCGUGCCAAGUCCAUUGCUUGUUUUCUAGAUUUACUCAUGGGUGUUCAGAACAGCUUUUAAUGUAGUUUUGUAAAUAUCAUGUGGACUAGUUUUUGAUAUCCAAUGAAAAAAUUGUAUUAUCAUUCGGUGCUUGGAAUCUCCUCUGUUUUCGUAUUGAAAAAUCACUAGUAAACUCUUUGCAUUUUCUGAUUGUUGAGGAUUCAAUCCCAAGACAAUCUGGUACAAAAUCCCUUUCAUUAUAACAGUCAAUUAUUUGUUUUAUUUGGGGAAGUUUCUCAAACACUUGCAUUUGCUUUAUCGGUAUUGUGAUUCACAAUCUGGUGGAAACCCUCUUUGUUGAGUCAAGAAACUAGACAAAAAGAUUUAACCAUUUUAGACAAUGAAUUCAAGAACGUAAUAAAAUGGCAUCACUGAACAAGGAGGACAGCUUGUAACAAUCAGUUGCUGUACAUACUAUCAGAAAAUAGCAUUAAAAUAAGUGUAUCUUGCAAAAGCUUGAUCCUAGAUUAUGAACUUGUUCUCUCAAAACAGAAGAAGAUAUAUUUGCUAUGUUUACCCACAUGAUUAAACACUUCUUUGCAUUCCUUUCCCAAAUUCUGUGAUCAUUUAUGAAAUAUCACCAGUCUGUAUCUUGAAAGAACUCCA